GAGAACUUGAUACCAAGCUGUUCAUUCGCGGGAGUUUUCGGAUGUGUUUUUUUUUUACUGCAGUGAUGAAUAAUUACCGUCGUUUGUGUUGCUUGGCAGUUCGCAGGUAAGAGAGUUUAUUUGUCCUAGUGCACUUAUAUUUAAUACUCAACUUAACGAAAGCACGAUCGUGCUUUCGUUGACUGUCAACACGUCAGGGUUGUGUACAAACAUCCUCCCCACCUUGACGAAUGUCAAAACAAACAACAACAAUAAACUUAGCAAAUCGCGUGGUCUUGAUUAGUAGGUAAGACACAUAUUUUAGUAAUGGGACGCGUAACUAUACCUUUCGCUGUUUUUAAUGUUACCACGCGCACGAUCUUAUCUGCCCCGGGAUGUACUUGCAGGAUGCGCACAAGUGGCCAGCGCGUAGUUGGUAGCGAUUAUUCGUUCAUCAGCACAACCAAUCUGCCGGUGAGUAUGUUGCUGUUGUUGCCGCCCGACUGUGUGUUGGUUUUUUGCAUCUCUUGUAGGUACUCGGUUGCCCAAUGUUUCCAGAAGCGUUGAACCAGUAGCUGCCACUUCUGAAGAUCAUCGAGUGUACUGGAUUUCAGACGCGUGUAGUCCGGUUCAGGAACGGCAUGUAGAGAUGACCCAAUCAGGAAAUGUGCGGGAGUGACAGCGGUAGUAAGGGACGGGAGUUCAUUGCUGCCUCUAUUUGGUAAAGGACAAUGCAGUAACCCUCGUACGAAAGCCUCGUGCUGCCAAGGUGUCGAUAGAGAUGCCUCUUUGCUGUCUUCACGGUGGCUUCUCAUAACCCGCCAAAAUGUGGUGCUUUUGGAGGGGUGAAGUGCCAAUCGAUGCCCUUAUCAGCACAAACAGCAGCGACGGUGUUCCGGUGUUGCUCGUCCUCGAAAAGCUUGAAAAGCUCCCCAAGCUCAUGUGCGGCUCCUUCGAAGUUCUUCCCGUUGUCGGAAUGCAUUUGGGAUGGAAGGCCUCGUCGGGAAAUGAAUCGGCGUAAAGCAGCGAGAAAUCCGGCAGUUGUGAGGUCCCCCACGAACUCCAAGUGCACGGCCUUCUUAGCGAAACACACGAAAACGCACAAGUAGCUUUUAACGACUGCGGCUCGGCGAUGUGCUGGCUUCAGGUAGAGCGGUCCAGCGUAGUCCUAUCCAGUAACCGCGAAUGAACGACCAGGUGUGGCGCGCGAGGGGGAAGCUGGCCAAUGGGCUGCUGGGCGAGUGCAGGAUCCUGACGAUUGCAUCGGAAACAGUUCCUCACGAUGCUUUUCACCAGCCGACGUCCGUCGAGGGGCCAGUAGCUUUCCCUUAUCUGGGACAGUAUGAGUCUUCCGCCGGCGUGCCUAAGCUCCUCGUGAUGGUGUUCUGCGAUGAGGCGAGCGAGCUUGUGAUGCUUGGGAAGUACCACGGGAUGCUUCGAUUGUUGUCGGAUUUCUAGGGAGAAGGCGUCUUGUGCCAAUCUACAGAAAGCAGUUUUGGCAGCGGCGAUGUAUUGUGGCGGUAUCAUCAGUGAUGAUGAAGACGGCGACAGCUGCUGGGUGCGCGCCUUCUGUUUUGCGUUGCGUGCAAAACGUAUGCAAUGCGCAAUGAUGCGCAGCAGUCUGGUGUAAGAUGAGUCGAUAUCGAACCACGGAUGAGUUGGUGUACUAACGAUAUUCGCACUCACCUGACGGAUUUCGAGAUCAACUCCGUCGAUCGAUUCAGGAUUCGGGUGUGGCCAGUGGGAUGACGGAAGCACAAGCCAGUCCGGGUCGGAAUUCCACAGCGUGCUUUGCGUGAUGCUUGCUGCGGACAUGCCACGGGAGACUAAAUCCGCUAGGUUGGAUGAACCGGGAACGUGUCUCCAUUGCCGGGGAUGAGAAUGGUGCUGCACUUCGGCGACGCUGGGGGGGCUCAUCUACGCGGUGGUGUAGAUGAGCUCCCAAAACAGCAGCGCUGAGCUCCAACCUCGGUAGCGUGAUGCGUUUAAGAGGUGCCACCCGGGACUUCGAUGCUUGGAGCCUGACUCGGACCUCUCCUGAUGCGUUCUCACAGCGCACAUAAGCGCACGCGCCAUAGACUGUCUCGGAGGCAUCGGUGAAGGUGUGGAGCUCUACUUUAGAAUGGGAUGUCAUCGGGGACGGGAUCGUCCCAGCCGGAUCUCAGUAGCCACAGCUCUUGCAUCAGCAUCUUUGCGCGGAUGAUAAUCGGGGCGAUUAAUCCGAGCGGGUCAUACAUGUAGGAUGAGUGUCAAUAGAGUGACCCGAAUACAAAAAAAAAAAAAGAGAGCGAUCGGUCACUCGGGAAUGGGUGUCGUCACGCGGAUAUAAAAACGAGCGUCAAAGCCUAAUUAAUCAGUCUCCCGCUAAUCGCCAACCAAUGAACUGUCUCGACCCACCAAAAAAUUGAACAGAGUAUUCUCUUUCUCUUUCUACAUGGGGGCUCGUCCGGGAAGAGGCAGUGAACGAUAACGAAGAAAACUAUGACGACGCGAGUGUUUACGACGAUGUGAACGUUAAAGAAGAAGACGCAAGUGUAUACGACAGUGUGUGAACGUUAAAGAAGACGACGAAGACGACGAAGUGUGUGCACCUAACGAAGACGACGAAGUAUGUGCACUUAAAGAAGACGACGAAGACGACGAAGUGUGUGCAUCUAAAGAAGACGACGAAGGCGACGAAGUGUGUGCAUCUAAAGAAGACGACGAAGUGUGUGCGCUCUUGAAGAAGAUUAAAGCGACGUGCAGAACAUAUCACUGUAGUGUACCAGAUCGAAAAGAAGUGACAACGUGUGUGUGUGACCUGUGAGGAAGCAAAGUGAAGUGUGCACGAGGACGUGAAGAUGAGUAACGAAGAGUUGAUCGCGACGCUGGUAGACGAGUGUACGCGUGUGGGGCUGACAAAGAAGUGUGAAACGCGAGG